UGAAAUUGGUUAAGUAUAUUGUUACUUUGUUCAAUGCGACCAUUGAUACAUGUUUAUUUGCAUAUUCUCCCUAUUUACCAAUCCCCUUCUAGAGCGAGACACCGUUUUAAAAUUAAAAUGUGGUGCUUCUCAUUUCGCUCACUUUUAAGUCAUAUUUUCACAUCUCCACCGUUCAGUGUCUAGAACAUAGUGUGUAGAUCAUUCCUGCAAAGUUUCAUCCAAUUUGGAGAUCAUUUGAGCUUCCGUAAUUGUGAUUUACACGAACGGUUCCGUUUAGACAGAUUUUGUUCAAUUGAUUCAUUUAAUCUAAUUCGGUACCCAAAUGAUCUCCAAAUUGGAUGAAAUUUUACAGGAAUGAUCUACACACUAUGUUCUAGACACUGAACGGUUGAGAUGUGAAAAUGUGACCUAAAAGUGAGUGAAAUAAGGAGCACCACACUUUAAUUUCAAAGCGGUGUCCUGCUCUGGAAGAAAACUGCCCUAUUUACAUGGUCAACUUUAACUAAAUAA
rnacentral:lncRNA from 1 species